rnacentral:rRNA from 1 species
ACAUAUACAGGAAUGUUGUAGAGAUACAGCAGCCGCUUGCGGUCUGUAUACAGGUGCUGCAUGGCUGUCGUCAGCUCGUGCUGUGAAGUGUUGGGUUAAGUCCCGCAACGAGCGCAACCCUAUCAUCUGUUGCCAGCAUUUAAGGUGGGGACUCAGAUGAGACUGCCGGUGACAAACCGGAGGAAGGUGGGGACGACGUCAAGUCAUCAUGGCCCUUAUGUCCUGGGCUACACACGUGCUACAAUGGCCGGUACAGAGUGAAGCGAAACCGCGAGGUGAAGCAAAACGCAGAAAGCCGGUCUCAGUACGGAUUGGAGUCUGAAACUCGACUUCAUGAAGUUGGAAUCGCUAGUAAUCGCGCAUCAGCAUGGCGCGGUGAAUACGUUCCCGGGCCUU